GCCUGGGGGGCUCAGUCGGUUGAGCAUCCGACUUCGGCUCAGGUCAUGAUCUCGCGGUCUGUGGGUUCGAGCCCCGCGUCAGGCU
rnacentral:tRNA from 1 species